UAAGGGGUGGUAAUGAGGCUUGGGUGGAUAUUGGGAGCUGCGCGACGUAGCCGAGCUGCUUCGGCACCCGGGGCCAAGCCGGGCUUCCCGGCCUGCGCGGAGCCGGAGCGGGAGCGGGAGGCGGCGGGGCCGGGCCGGGCCGGGCGCGGGGCUUGCGCCUGUGCCUGUGCCUGUGCCGAGGGAGCCCCUGGCCCCCGCAAGAGGCUUCUGGCGCGGGGGCACCGCAAUGUCCGGGGCAGGAGCGGGCAAGCGGCCUGGCCUCGCCUCCUGGAGGGAGCCCGAGCUCAGCAGAGCAGAGCUCCACGGGCCGCAGCACCCUGGGGUGCCUCGAGGUCCUUUCAGGCGGGCCGGGGGUGCCUCGCAAGCAGGACGCGCCAACUGAACCGGGAGAUCUGUACAAGGAUCCCUUCUCGGGGCUGCUCUGCGUUCUUUGCAGCAGACCAAUCCCUCUAUGUUUCUGAAGGGGAUAAAGCAUUGAAAAAAACCCUAUAGUUUGACCUGAUGUGCUUCACCAAGCCAAUUGAACAUCAUGCUUAAUACACCUUGAGAGAGCCAAGUGAAACUUGCUGAAAAAACUGAAACUGGAAACAAUUUAAAGCAGGAAAAAUUAACUUCCUAAGUGUCAAUAAAACUUGAAAAUACA